GACCAUAGCUCAUUGGUAGAGCACCUGCUUUGCAUGCAGAAGGUCCCAGGUUCAAUCCCUAGCAUCUUCA